AAAAAAAAAAAAAAAAAAAGUAAUAAAAUAAAUCAUGGUGUUUCAUUUCUGUCGUGGCUCUGUAGAUUCAGCGCAUAUAUUUUUAAUGAACGCACGUGUUUCAUUAGUUGUGUUCUCAGUGCAUUACUGUAAUAAAUCUUGUGGGUUCGCGGUUGUAUUUUGCACUCACGUGUUCCUUCAGCGCCUCCAGAUUAAAGCAUGAUUUAUUAUGUUGGGUGAAACCUUUCAAAUUAUUUAAGUGUGAUAUAGCUACUGAAGAAGUAAAGCAUAUUCUCUGACUUGAAGUAUAACAUUUUGUAAUUAUUAUAUUAGGUCUAGGUAUUAGAUAAAAUAGGCUGUAAAUAAUGUAAAGAUGCAUUAGAAAAUGAAGGUGUUUCUUGGAAGCAUAAAGGAAUCAGACUGACCUCCAACAAAAAAACGACCCUGUGACCUACACGUGCAAGCACUUUACGACCUAUAGCCUAUUUACGUUUUAAAGUUUAGUGCCAUCCAGCGGGCGUGAAAAUAAUGACAGUGUCGUGUUGCGUCUGUCGUCAUGAAAUGACGCAUGACUGUCAAAAUGUUUCAGUUCUGAAUCAAAUAUCUGUCUUUUUUUUUUCUACUGCAGAAUCAACCAUGAAUGCUGUAAUUGCUGUGCAGCUGUUCAUUCUGGUUUGGACCUUUACUGCUGUCUGUCAAGCUGAUGAUGAUAUCAUUGUAAGCUGUCAGAAAGUGACUGGAUCUGUGGGGAGAGAAGUAACUCUCACCUGCGGCGUCUCUCUGCAGAUCACUGAAUGCUGCAUUAAAAAGUAUAAGUUUCAAUACCCUGAAAUCUAUAAUGACUCCGCAAUCUGUCGUCAAAAUUUAUCUGUGAACUCCUGUGAACAGAGAAACAGUUUCACAUGCCGCUACACUCCAACUACAGUGAUGACAGAACAAUUCAGAUUCUUUGUGCAAACAAAUUGUGGAGUGAAAAAAGCAGAAAUCUUCACUCUUGAAGCAGUUUCCUCAAGACAUGUGAACCCAGAAAACCCAUCAGGAUCCUCUCCACCAGAGACAGCAGCAGGAUUCAAGAAUACUGUCUUCACUGUGGUUGUGGUUGGUUUCAUCAUCAUCCUCAUCAUCAUGACGGCGAUCAUUUUCAAAACAAAACCGAACUCCGCCAAACUUUGUAAAGGCCAGAACUGGAUGUUUUUGAGAGUCAGAAAUGAUGAGGACAACAAUCGUCCAGGAAAUUAGAUAUUAUAGCAUUGAGUUUUGUUUGACUUUUCGUGUGGUGCUCAUGAAACACACAAGCUUUAUUUGAAGUCCACUAAACUCUACACUAUCUUAUAUCUCAAACUACUGAAUAUGUAACUCUGCCUGUUGGUUUUAGAAACUCUUGUUUCUGUUUUAUAUUGACUUCUGUGAAAUAACAGCAUAUUAUUGAUCUGUUUGAUCAGAGUAAAUGAUUUUAAUGAACUCAAACCUUUGUGAACUUUAAGAGGAAACAGCGAAACUCAAAUUGUUUUUUUCUGAGUUUUUAAAGAAAUGUCUAAUGUAACAGAGUUAUUUUGUUUAUAUUAUUUUCACUCAAAAUCCCCCUUUUUCUAUUAAAUAUAAAUGUAAAUUUGUUUCUUUGAUAUGAUUGUAUCUAUUACUUUAUUGUUAUGAGUUAAGAUGUAUAUGAUCUUCAAGAUUUGUUCAGGAAGUGCACUGUCACGUUAAGAGUGUAUACUUGUUCUUUCGCCGUGCGCGCGCUUUUCUCGCUCAGUUCACUUCUGAGCCUAGAGAAGUUUGUCUCGUGGUUCGUCAAGGCAUUAAAUGGUAUUGUUACUUAUAUAUUCUGAAUUAAAGCUGUUUCUGGCUUUGUUAAACAUACCUUGUAUGUGGGUUAAUGAAAUUGUAUUUGUGAAUGAUUGUGAUUGUUUGCGAUUGUGAGUGAGAUUAACAUAUAUUAGCCUGCUGUAUUUACUCUCCAUUUGCCAACCGCUGUUUAAUUAAAUGAAGAGAUCACAAAAUUCAUGUUUUCAACAUAUUUCCCCAUUUAUGCAGAAAAUCAAGACAGUACUAAGCAGUGAGAGGUCUGAAGUUUCUUUAUUGAGUGACAUCGACACAACGCAGAGUGGAUUCCCCUUACCUGGGACCCGUUACACUAACAUGAAUGUCAUUUUUAUAUAUUGUAUAAUGGUGUGAACGGUGUGGUUUUGUACAAUAUCUUUUUUUUUUUUUUAAUGAAAUGAAAAAAUACUUGUGAUACUCUCUAAAGAUGAACGUCUGAAUCCUCUGUUUAUGGGCAAGUUCUAUCUAGCAGAUAAACGAGUCAAAUGGGUGAAGAAUACAAAGAGCUGAUCUGUAUGUAUGCAUUAUUUGUGUAAGACAAGUUACAAGUUAUCUUAUUCUGCAGGAAAUCUUAAAAUAUUUGGGGUUAUAAGUUUUUGUUUUUCUUUACUAUAAGAGAUUUGGAGGUAGAAUGAUUUUAGCGUAAACCUGUACAGUUUAAAUCAACCUUGAGAUUAGUUUUCUGAAAUACAGUGAAACAAAACACUUUCUCCAGGCCCAAGGUGCUAAGACAGAACACAGAACAUAGGACUACCCAAACACAUAUACACACACAAACUAAUUAAAUUAUAUUAAAUAAGCUAAAUAAAAGUUAAAUAAGAGCUAAAGUAAGCA
ensembl:lncRNA